ensembl:lncRNA
CUGACCGCAAAGUACACAGCAAGGCAUUCUCGAGCUUCGUGUUUAUUCUCUAACUGUACAUGUUUUAUUAAUUGGUCUGCAAAGCUCAGUUCUGCUCCCGAGGCAGGCAUUCUACUAUCCCAGAGAACAGCUGGACUUCCUCAGAGAGUCUGCCAGCAAGCCAGGCUGCCUUUCUUACCCCUCAGGCAUAUAAGAAUGGUCAGAGGACUUGGUUUUUCUCACCGCUAAGGGACUACCAGACACCUCUCUGCUUUCUUGAAUGUCUUUCCUUGGACUUGUGUGUGUGUGUGUUGGCAGUACCCUUCUUUUCUAAGCACCUUUGAAAGACAUUUCUUUCUCUCCUGAGUGUGUCUCUUGUCUUCCCUCUGGCAGUUAAAUACAAUAUUUAGCUUCUUUCUGUAUUUUUUUUUUCCUCUUUUGACUUGGUGAAAAAUAGAGGGGCGAAAGCUUUACGGAAACCUCAGCAUGUGUGUUUCGCUUGCCCUUUGUUUCCCAGUGCCUAGCACAGUGGCUUGCAACUCAAAACUUUUAUUCAGUGUGGAUGGAUGGAUGGAUGGAUUGAUGACUACAUGUUUGUAAGGAAGGUGUGGAAUCCAGCUGAAGGUGCAGCACAACCGUGAAAGGAACGACUCUAGGCAACAGGUUGUCUGAAGCUCCAUAAAUCAAGAGGGAGGGGGACUCAAUCCCAGAGUUGUUGACCGUGUUGUCAUAGCUGGCUGGGCUCUGGAGUGAGGAUGGCCAGUGUUGGGCACAAUUAAUUCAUCCAUAGAAGGAAGAAGACAUUGAGCAAAAUAUUUCAAUGAAGUAAUGGAUUUAGAUGCUGUCAGGAACAUCUAAACAGCACAGCAAUUGCUUCUACGUCAAACGUGACAUUUGGCAUCGAGGGAGGAUGACACACUCUGGUUUCUAUGGAGAGAAGACACAGAUGCUCUGCAUUUGGGACCCUUCCAGACCUCGUCUUAAGUGUCUCUUCAUCUAGCCAGUCCGGAUUUGUAUCCUUUAUAAUAAAACUGUAGUUUUGUCAACUUACAUAUCAAGUGGGUCGGAACAGAAGCAGUUAGUUUCCAUAAAGCAGAUGGACUGUAUUCCGGCAAUCAGCUUCCCUGGUGGCUCAGAUAGUAAAGAAUCCAUCUGCAAUGUGGAAGACCUGGACUCGAUCCCUGGGUUGGGAAGAUCCCCACAGGAGGGCAUGGCCAGUAUUCUUGCCUGGAGAAUCCCCGUGGGCAGAGGAGCCUGAUGGGCUACUGUCCAAGGGGUUGCAAAGUGUUGGAUGUGACUGGGCGACAAGCACAGCACAGGACAAUGGCCUUCUUUAGUUCUCAAAAUACUGUUGUCUGCAUUCUGUGUGUAUCAAUAGAUUGGUUUUCUCUUGUUUGGAAUUUGCCUGGUAUGUAUUGUUCCAGCCCUUUGUUUUCUGCCUUUCAUGUCCUUAUGAAUCUUCUGGAAGAAGUAUUCAUCUUGAUUAUUAUUUUGACUAUUUUAAAUCCAAUCAUAAGAGCUCUAUCUCUUAAUAAAUAGGUAACUUUAUCACAUUUUUAAUGAUUAUUAAUAUAAUGUAUUUUAUAAUCUCAUUUUUCCUGAAAAUUAAGUUAUUUCUAAUCUACAGAUAUGAUUCCAACACAUUUGAUUUAAAAAU